GAGGGAAUAUGGUCUUUCAGAGAGCUUGGACCUAAGCCAUAUAGGGCUUUAUAGGUUAGAAGCAGCACUUUGAAUUGUGCUUGGAAGCAGAGAAGUAGCGAGUGGAGGUGUUGUAACAAGGAAAUUGUAAAUAAUAAUAAUAAUAAUAAUAAUAAUAAUAAUAAUAAUAAUAAUUUUUAUUUAUAUCCCACCCUCCCCAGCCAAAGCCAGGCUCAGGGCGGCUAACAACAAACAAAUAAUCAAACAAUCAAAUAAUCCAACAUUCUAAAACAUUUCAUUAUAAAAAUUAAUUAAAAUCAAAUUAAUGGCAACCGUUAAGCAAAGUUCUGUGCAGGUUGCCAGAGGAAGGAGUCAGGCUGGGCCCUGACCAAAGGCCUGGUGGAACAACUCUGUCUUGCAGGCCUUGCGGAAAGAUGUCAGGUCCCGCAGGGCCCUAGUCUCUUGUGACAGAGCGUUCCACCAGAUUGGAGCUGCAGCCGAGAAAGCCCUGGCUCUAGUUGAGGCCAGCCUAACCUCUCUGAGGCCUGGGACCUUCAGGAUGUUUUUAUUUGCAGACCGUAGGUUCCUCUGUGGGGCAUACCAGGAGAGGCGGUCCCGUAGGUACGAGGGUCCUAGGCCGUAUAGGGCUUUAAAGGUUAAAACCAGCACCUUAAACCUGAUCCUGUACUCCACCGGGAGCCAGUGCAGCUGGUAUAGUACCGGAUGAAUGUGAUCUCGCAGCGAAGACCCCAUAAGGAGUCUCGCCGCGGCAUUCUGCACCCGCUGGAGUUUCUGGGUCAGUCUCAAGGGCAGCCUCACGUAGAGCGAGUUACAAUAAUCCAGUCUGGAGGUGACCGUCGCGUGGAUCACAGUGGCUAGGUCGGGCGAGAGAGAUAAGGGGCCAGCUGCUUAGCUUGGCGGAGAUGAAAAAAUGCCGCCUUUGUUAUAGCUGUAAUCUGCGCCUCCAUAGAGAGGGAGGUAUCGAAGAUUACACCCAAACUCUUAACGGACGGUGCUGGCACUAAUUGCACCCCCGCAAGAGAUGGGAGUUGCCCCCCCAAUCCCAUAUCGUCCCGUCCCAGCCAGAGGACCUCUGUCUUCGAAGGAUUUAGCUUCAACCGGCUUCCACGUAACCAUCCAGCCACAGCUUCCAAACAUCUGGUCAGUGUGUCUGGGGCCGAGUCAGGAUGGCCAUCCAUCAACAGAUAGAGUUGGGUGUCAUCGGCAUACUGAUGGCAACCCAGCCCAAAACUCUGGACAAGCUGGGCGAGGGGGCGCAUAAAGAUGUUGAAAAGCAUCAGGGAGAGUAUCGCACCCUGAGGCACUCCACACACCAAGGAGUGGCGCGAUGACAAUUCCCCCCCAAGCGCCACCCUCUGUCCCCGACCAGAGAGAAACGAGCGCAGCCAUUGAAGGACUGUGCCCUGGAUCCCCAUGUCGGCAAGGCGGUGGUCCAGGAGUUCGUGAUCGACCAUGUCGAAGGCUGCUGACAGGUCUAGAAGAAUUAUCCUCCUAUAUCAGAAAAAAUAUCAAAGCCAUUUACAAUAGCACAUUUUCGUUAAAAAAAACCCCAUAACCACUUAAAAUCAGAGCCCAGUAACAAACUAUUAUGGAGAAACGUAUUCUUCAUUGCCCUCAUAAGCCUGGCAGAACAAAGUUUUCAGUUGGCUUAAAAGUCUUAAAGGCUUAAAAGUCAGAAGGCUUUUGUGGAAUGGUUCUAGAACAAGGGAAAUGCUAUUUUUUAGACGGAGGUGAAAUAUCACGUUGAUUUUUGACUUAAAGGGAAGGGAAAGUGUAGAUUUUGACUUUCCCGUAAGAACAGAAAAUGAUCUACUGUUCAAAGCUUUGGAACAAAAUGGUUCAUUAGUUCCCCUCCCCUUGCAUAUCUGAGGAAUGUCAUGCCCUCACAAUGGCACACAUUUUGAACUCUUUCCAAUUUCAGAUAUUUCCCAUCUCUUUUAAUACCUCAUUGCUUUUGCAUCAAUUACAGCCUGACCUAAAGCCUCACUGGAAGUAGAUAUGAUAUAUAGUGGAAUCUAUUUAAAUGAAUUUCUGAUGAAAGAAUAAAACUGUUAAAAGAAUAAAUUUACCACACACAGAUUUAUACAAAUCCAGUAUAUGCAGUGAAAUCCUCUUAAAUGAAAAACUGAUGAAAGAUUAAAAUGUUAAAUGAAUUAAAACCCAGCAUCCCAGUGAUAUAUAAUGAUGAUUUGACCUAUUAAAGGAGAGAACCUGAUGAACAUAGUACCAGUGGAGUGCUCCAGGAUGUCAGUUUUUAAAUAUGCAGUGAAACUCUGUAAAGUAAAUACAUGAUCAAUAUAUAUAUCUAUUAAGACUAAAUUUAUUGUAGACUAAAUAAAUAGUAGACAUUUAUUACUCUUGCUCACUCGGUAGGUGAAUGCAGUAUGUCGUCUGUUGCUAAUGGAUGCGAGAAGCAUGUGCUACAGACUGCUAAGAAUUUAACUCAACGUGUGAAUCAGAGGAUUAUUGCAUUCAAAGGUAUGCAGCCCAUUCACCUAGUCGGACUAAAUCAGAACAUGCAGGAGGGGGACAGGGAGGGAUUAUCACACAUUGUACCUGUGGCUCUGUAGAUGGGCAUUUUGCUUAAUACAUCACAGAAAAUGACUGCACAGUUCCUGUGUUGCAAGAGAAGCAUGGAUGAUAAUGUGUGAUGUGCAUAAAGGUCUCUCUUACUCAUGAUUCUUUUCACACACUACACUGACACCCACAUUAUCUUUGAAAAGGGCAAAAGAAAUUCUCUUUAAAAAAUUAAUGCACAUAUGUGUAACCAACCUCCUGGAGGGGAUUGUUAUUAUUAGCUGUAUUGCUUUCAUCACCUGCCGAACCUUUUUGUUGAAGCAGGCCUGUCCAGACGUGUAAAUUUGGCAUGUAUAUUUAUAUGUCGUUUUAUUUUAUAAUGAAUAUUUUAAAACUGCUAUGGGAAAAAAAAUCAAGCUAGCUUGUUUCUAACGGCUACUUUACCAGUAAUUUUAAUGUAUAUUAUUUGCAAAGCACUUAGAAAUUUUGAUGAUUAAGUGACAUAUAAUCUUGGACUACUGCAACGCGCUCUAUGUGGGGCUACCUUUGAAGGUGACCCAGAAACUACAACUAAUCCAGAAUGCAGCAGCUAGACUGAUGACUGGGAGUGGCUGCCGAGACCACAUAACACCGGUCUUCAAAGACCUACAUUAGCUCCCAGUACGUUUCCGAGCACAAUUCAAAGUGUUGGUGUUUAGCGUUUAGGCCUUUAAAGCCCUAAACAGCCUCGGUCCAGUAUACCUGAAGGAGCUUCUCCACCCCCAUCGUUCUGCCCGGACAUUGCGGUCCAGCGCCGAGGGCCUUCUGCCGGUUCCCUCGCUGCAAGAAGCCAAGUUACAGUGAACCAGGCAGAGGGCCUUCUUGGUAGUGGCACCCACCCUGUGGAACGCCCUCCCACCAGAUGUCAAAGAGAAAAACAACUAUCUGACUUUUAGAAGACAUCUGAAGGCAGCCCUGUUUAGGGAAGCUUUUAAUGUUUAAUAGACUAUUGUAUUUUAAUAUUUUGUUGGAAGGCACCCAGAGUGGCUGGGGAAACCCAGCCAGAUGGGUGGGGUAUUAAUAAUAAUAAUAAUAAAAUAACAACAACAAAUAAAUUGCAUUAUUGGGGAGCAAGAGCCUGAAACAGAGUGCUAUUAACAUCUUCAGGGUUCUCUCCUGCAUGCCCCUAGUGAGGAGUAUAUAGCACUGAACAGAUGCCUGCUUUACAACAAGAUAGAGUUCCCUUUUGCAGAGGGAGCGGGGAAGGGAAGAUCCCAUGGUGUUGAACUACAGUGGCCCCUCAGAGGUGUAUCUGGCUCCAUAACUAGACAGCUUUCAGCGAAUGGUGAAGACGCACCUCUUUGCCCUGGCUUUUGACACCUGAGAUGAUGAUGAUGAUAAUGAUGAUGAUGAUGAUUUAUUUAUACUCCGCCCAUCUGGCUGGGUUUCCCCAGCCAGUCUGGGAGGCUCCAAACAGAAUAUUAAAAACACGUUAAAACAUCAAACAUUAAAAACUUCUCUAAACAGGGCUGCCUUCAGAUGUCUUCUAAAAAUCAGAUAGUUGUUUAUUUCCUUGACAUCUGGUGGGAGGGCAUUCCACAGGGUGGGCACCACUACCGAGAAGGCCCUCUGCCUGGUUCCCUGUAACCUCACUUCUCACAGUGAGAUGUGUGGUUUUGGGGGACUCAUACUGUUCCUGAAACUGUAAACUGUUUUAAUUGUUUUAAACUCUGAAUUUUAAAUUGUUGUAACCUACCCUGGAUCUGCUGGUGAAGGCCAAGUAAUAAAUUUAAUAAAUAAUAAAAUAAUAAUAAUACUAUCACUUACACAAGUUUUUAAGGUUUUAAUUUGUGUCGACCACAGCAAACUAUGGCAAGUUCUUAAAGAAAUGGGAGUGCCUGAUCACCUCAUCUGUCUCCUGAGAAAUCUCUAUGUGGGACAAGAAACUACAGUUAGAACUGGAUAUGGAACAACUGAUUGGCUCAAAAUUGGGAAAGAAGUACGACAAGGCUAUAUAUUGUCUCCCUGCUUAUUUAACUUAUAUGCAGAAUUCAUCACGUGAAAGGCUGGGCUGGAUGAAUCCCAAACUGGAAUUAAGAUUGCUGGAAGAAAUAUCAACAACCUCAGAUAUGCAGAUGACACAACCUUGAUGGCAGAAAGUGAGGAGCAAUUAAAGAACCUUUUAAUGAGGGUGAAAGAGGAGAGCGCAAAAUAUGGUCUGAAGCUCAACAUCAAAAGAACUGAGAUCAAGGCCACUGGUCCCAUCACCUCCUGGCAAAUAGAAGAGGAAGAAAUAGAGGCAGUGAGAGAUUUUACUUUCUUGGGCUCCAUGAUCACUGUAGAUGAUGACAGCAGUCACGAAAUUAAAAGAUGCCUGCUUCUUGGGAGAAAAGCAAUGAGAAACCUAGACAGCACCUUAAAAAGCAGAGACAUCACCUUGCCAACAAAGGUCCGUAUAGUUAAAGCCGUGGUUUUCCCAGUAGUGAUGUAUGGAGGUGAGAGCUGGACCAUAAAGAAGGUUGAUUGCCGAAGAAUUGAUGCUUUUGAAUUAUGGUGCUGGAGGAGACUCUUGAGAAUCCCAUGGACUGCAAGAAGAUCAGUCCUAUCCAUUCUUAAGGAAAUCAGCCCUGAGUGCUCACUGGAAGGACAGAUCCUGAAGCUGAGGCUCCAAUACUUUGGCCACCUCAUGAGAAGAGAAGACUCCCUGGAAAAGACCCUGAUGUUGGGAAAGAUUGAGGGCACAAGGAGAAGGGGACGACAGAGGACGAGAUGGUUGGACAGUGCUCUCGAAGCUACCAGCAUGAGUUUGACCAACCUGUGGGAGGCAGUGGAAUAGAGGAGUGCCUGGCGUGCUCUGGUCCAUGGGGUCACGAAGAGUCGGACACAACUAAACAACUAAACAACAACAGAAAAAUAAAGAACAUCAAUAAAUAAUUAUACAAAAAUAAUAAAUAAAGUGUGAGUGUGUUGUAAUGAUAUAUAGUCAUACUUCAUGUUACGUUUGCUUCCUGAUAGGUUGUGUCCCGCAGAGAACCAGAAGUACCGGAAAGGCUUACUUCUGGGUUUUGCUGCUCGCGCAUGCGCAGAAGCGGCGAAUUGCAACCCCCACAUGCACAGAUGCACCACUGCAGGUUGCGUUCUGCUCAUGUUGCGAACGGGCCUCCGGAACGGAUCCCGUUCGCAACCAUAGGUACCACUGUAUAACUCUUCUACAGCAUUUGUUUGUGUCUUGGUUACCAAGUUAUUAAUGAAAUCAUGUCUAUAUUUUCUUUUUUCUAGCAGUGCUUCCAAAGAAAGGCAAAAACACUUCAUGAAGCAGUAAUGAAAAACGUGAUAAAACAUUAAAAGAAACCAAUUUUCUCCAAUGCCUCUUUUCUCAUAUCAAGCAUACCAAGACAUUUACAACAUUCCUGCCUGCAUUGCUUAUUUGUUUUUUUCCCUCAGCAACCGCUGCACAUUACAGACUCUUGCAGCACUCCAGGGGCCAUCUCCCUUCCCUCAAGGGGGAAAAAGAUGGCAUGGUGCUCCUAUCUUCCCUCCAAGAGGACAUACAUAUACUUCUCAAGAACUAAAUCAGGGGUAGUCAGGCUUUUUAUACCUACCGCCCACUAAUUCAUCUUUCUUGAGGGUAAAAUUUCCUUACCACCCACCAGUGCUCGAUGGAAGGAGGAUUCAGCUUGUGCCGUAGAACCCCCUACCGCCCACCUAGAAUCCUGAAACGCCCACUAGUGGGUGGUAGGGACCAGGUUGACAACCCAUCAACCCCUAACACCCAAUAGCUGUUUUUAAAUGAUAAAACCCUGGAGGAUCCAGUUCAUUGUUCUCCAAAAAUACAUCUUGUUUGAUCUUAAGGAUGCUUUAUUUUCAAGCUUCAUAAUGUAUGUUUUGGGCCUUCUUAAAAACACUUCUUUGCAACUGUUUAAACUCACUGUCGUGAUUCUUUAUUAUUAUUUUUGCCAUUCUGCAAGUUAAUUAAAUGUGCCUAGCAGAAUAUGUAUUAAGGAACACUAUUCUUAAAUAAUUGUUUUGUUCUGCUGAGGGGAAUAAAAGUCAUUGCCAGAUCCACUGUAAUAGCAGAAAACAAGUUUAAAUCUAGAUUUGAAUUGGCAAGAUUUUUUUUAGAUGUGAAACCCCCUCCCCCAUACUACUUCUUUUAAAUCAGUGGGAUGAUCAUGCCGAAUCCACUGAUAUAUCUUUGAAAGAAACACCAACCAGAGUUGUCCAUCAUAUAUACGCAAUGCAGGAGACGUAGACGAUUAGAUGAAUGUAAUAAAGGACAACCAAAAUGAUUCUGAGCUUUGCGAAUUAGAGUUUUGAAAGAAGGUUAAUCAGUCUUGCCCUUUAUAGCUCAUGUUAAGGAGACUAAGAGGGCGAUCUCCUUGAGAAACACAAGUUACUUUAGAGAUGAGAACAGAUUGUUCUCCCCAACAAUCUGUUUAAGAUAGCAACUAGCUAAAAUGAAUGAGAGAUGGAUAUAUAAAGAGAAGGCCACCUAAAAUCAAUACAGAUUUGAUGGGGCUCACAGGAACAAAGUCAUAAAAUCCAAUAAGGGCAAUGGGAUUGGUGAAUGAACCCUUGCAGGACAAACACUUCUGUUAACCAGGAGGCUUCUCAAAGCAGCAUUAAGAGUGAAAGGAUGCUUGAUACAGGCAGAGCGAGAGUCAGGAUCCUUGGGCACAUACUGAGGUGCACAUCACAAAGCAGGGGGCACUGCCAAUUUCUGGAACCCCCUGACUCUGCUGUUUCUGCUGUGCCUGUUCAUCAGCCUCCUGUAAGCAGCUGGGCAAUGGUAGGAGGAGGAAGGAACUGCCACUUCCACUCACCUUCCCUUUUGGGUGGCUGUGUGGAUUGGCCCAAAGGCAGAGGGCAAGUGAACUGGCUGUGGUGAAAAAGACAUGGCCAACUCAGGCAGCAGGUCCUCUGAGGUCAUGUUGGCCAAGGACUUCCCCAAACCUGGAUCCAGCACCGGAUACAGGAAGAGUCUUAGGGCAUACCAAUUAGAAGAGUCCCAAACCUCAGCCGGGAGCAGCAGGGCAGAAUCAAGUGGCAGGUCCAUCACCAGAUCCAAAAAAUCAAUCAGGGUAGAAAGUGGUAUUUUGUUUUUCUAUUUUGCUGUGCAAACUCUAGGCUUGAGCAGCCUGGGAAAUGGGCCACUUUUGGAUCCACUGGGUCUGUUUUCCUUUUCUCUAUAAUUCCCCAUUGUGGGGUCUUGUGCUAGGUAUCAAGGUGGGAACACCACGGGUGGUAACUUCCUAAACACUCUACUUUGGGUGGGUGCCGCAGGGGCCUCUGUGAAAGGCAGCCCCAGCUGAAGGCCAAUGCUAUUCUAUGGACACCCUGCAUCAGCCUUGCCAUGCAGUUCAAUGUAGAGCAGGGGUAGCCAACAUGGCACCCUCUUAAUGUUGUUGGACUACAACUCCCAUUUCCCAUCACAACUGGCUAUGCUGACUUGGCUGGUGAAGGCACCACAUUGGCUAUCCCUGGUGCACUGCCCAUUGCUGAAAUGACUGGAAAAGACCUUGCAAGUAGAUGAUUUCUGUUCUCAAUCAAAGUCCACAAAUGCUGGCUUUAUUGCAGUGUCUGGCUAAAGCAUCUCCCCAACGUUAAUUUCCUUUGUACUGCCAAAACCCAUGAAAACCACAACCCUCUCCCAGUAAAUCUGCCCCUUCCCAUGCUUUAGUUAUCUUCUUCCUUGUUGUGUUUGUCAUGAUCUUUGUAUCAGCACUAGAAGUAAAUAAAUCAAAUGAAUUUUAAGUUAUUCAUGUUGUUUGUAGAGGGUGGGGGAUGAGAGCUGGGAUUUAAGGCUUCGGGAAAGUGGUGUGCAGUAGGCUAAUCUGCUUUAAUACAGGGAAAUCAUUCCAAAGCCAUGCUGGCUCUGAAGUGUUCUUUGUUUUGUUUCUGUGUAUAUGAAAAAGCAAAAUACUUAGUACAUUACGGCAAUAAUUGCUGUGAAUAUAAGCCGAAUGUAUUUUCAUAUACUAUAGACAUCCAUGUUUCAUUAAGGACAAUCAAAGAGCAAUUUUCUGUGUAUGUCUUUGUGUGUUUGUAAGGAAAGAAAUAAUUGGUACUAAAGAAAGAGUUCCAUGUUUCACCAAACACCUGACUUCAUUUACAUCAAGAUUAUUGGUGUCACCUUCCAGUAAGUCAGGAAAACCUGCCAGGGUAAUUAAUAUAUGGAGAGCAGAGUUUGCGACUUUGUCAAGUAUUUAUGAAGUAUUUAGUGCACCCUUCUUUUCAUUAUAAUUUCAGAGCAUUUAAAUGUAGUUGUCAUGCUCUGAGUUAUGAUUUGCCUUUUUCUAUGAAAGGAAAGCUUUUUUUUUAUUUGUGUCAUAGAAUGCUGGGAUUCUUGGGGUUCAGUAUUAAAUACAAUAUUUCAUACUUUGUGGCAUAAUCACAGCCUUGGAGAUUUCCAGACCCCCUGCAAAUAAUAAAGCCUUGCCUCUUCGUAUUUAUGCAUGACUUCUGCUUCACCUCUUGAACCUUUUCAACAUACUGUCAAGCAGACUCUAUUUUCUCUGAUUAUCCGAGAUUACUUUCCGUCCUCUCAAAUGCAGUUCAUUACUUUCUUCAAUGGAAUUCCAAAUCUGUGCUCUAACAGAUUCCUAAACCUUAGCAAACCUGUACAUUACUAAGCCUUCGCUGUGCUUGCCAUAUGGUUAACCUGAUUUCAGUGACCCAAAUCACAUAAUUUUGAUUAAUGAUGUGUAAUUAGAAAAAAUACCAUGCUGGCAGUAAUUAAGUCCCUCAUGAGCUUAUCUCCACCAGCCAUGUAAGGAAAGCUAUUUGACAAGCUGAAGAACCCAUAGAAAAUGUAGGGUGUGAAUUCAGCCCCUCAUAUCAUUUCAGGUCGUCUUGCUAAGCAUAUUUAUUUAUAUGAAGACCUCACUAAAAUCAAUAGUACUAGAAUCAGUCAGUGGGAUAUGGGUACAUGAUCCAUAGCUUAUGCACACAUCACAUGACUUUAUGGAUCAGGAACUGUGGCAUCAACUGAAUGUAUAUGUGUAUUUGAAUGUUUAAUUAUACAUUGAAAUGUGCAUCACUAUUCAUACUGUAAGAACCAAGAAGACCCUCUUGGACUAGAGUCCAGCACCCUGUUCUCACCGUGGCUGCCCACAUGCCUGUGGGAAACCUGUAAGCAGACCCGAGCACAAGAGGGUUCUCAUCUCUUGUGGUCUCUAGCAAUCGGUAUUCAGAAGCAAACUACCUCCAGCUAUGAUUAAUCCACAUUCUGUUACUGUGAUUAAUCCAGAGAAUCCACAUUUUUUGACAGACUAGGCACACAUAAAUAUCUUUUUUUAAAAAUAAGCAACAAGCUAGUCUGGAAUUUUUAAGCCACCACAUGCUAAUACUGCAAGGUAGUUGUGUCAUCUCAAAAAUUAAAACCAAAAAACCAAAACUGGUUUUCAGUUGCAUCUGGGAAGCUGUUAAGUUUUGCUGCAAUGUAUUAUUUUGUGACUUGACUGGACUGUGGAUGUGUUUAGAAAGAGUUCACUAAAAUGGCACCUGCAGGAACCAUUCUGCUUUCCAGUACCUCCUUUGGAGUCCACAAACAAUCUCAGUAAAUCCCCUCAAAAAUCUAUAUUGCCUGUUAUGCCUUGUCUGCAUUGAAUGUGCCCUCUUAAACAUCCCCACAUUCAUUGCCUGGACUAGACAACCACCCAUUAUUUCAUUUUGAACAGAGGAGAGGUGCAAAGAGCUUCUCUCUAUGAUGGAGCAUGGGGGUCGGUAGUGUAGAUGCCUUUUCUCCAAUGAUGUGGGGAGGGCAUGCCCGUACAAUUUUGUGGGCCUGCCUCUUUUUCUGCUUUUUUGGGAUGUCGUGGCCAUAUUGUGCCACAUGUCCACCACAGCCAUUGUGUAUUAUGCCUUCAUUGGAGCUGAUUUAUGACUAAUCUCCACAGCACUUUGUCAGACUUCCAGGUGUGCCUAUAGGCCAAAAAGGUUGGCAACUCUGAUAUAAGUAUCAUGCCAUAUUAGAAAAAAGCAAAACACAACACUUAAGGUAGCCAUGUUUCCAAAACCCAUGGUUGGGCAGAGUUUUAUUGGAUCAACCAAAAUGUCAGAGUAUUGUAAGCAGGUACUUCAUAACUCUUCAGCAGACUAGAUGUCAUACAAAGCAGGGGAUGUAGGAAUAAGGAAGAAAGGUGCAAAAAUUAGGCUUUGUACUGUAGGAAUGGAGGUUGGCAUUUGGAUUCAGUCUCAAGAUGGAGAUUGCAGAUUGAUUGAUUGAUUGAUUGAUUGAGUGAAUGAGUGUCUGUUAGCUGCUGCACUGCUGCAGGAUUCAGGUUACAGCUAGGAUUCUGGGAUACAGAAGCAAUAGCUGAUCUCCAUUCUUAACAUCACAAAGCCUGGCAGUUUCCAAAGAUACAUCUCACACCUCAGGCAAAACACAUGUGUUCCUGGUAAGAAGAAGAGAACACAAGUCAAGAGAAAUACAGCAGACUUCAUAUUAACAAAGCUGUAAAGCACUGUUAUUUGUCUGAUUAAGUGGGAGUUGGAGAUCUUAAAAUGGCCGUCAAAUCACUUAGGAUGUAUCAUGGUUAAAAGACCCAUUAUGCUGUGAGUUUGGCAGCUGUGCUCCAAUUUGUACACCUGAACAUAGACAGGCGGGUUUUAAAUGUACAUGUUAAAGGAGGUAUAUUUGGAGGUCUCAAAGCAUUGGCUCAUAUUGCUCAUUUCCAUCUACAAGGAAAGUAAAAACUCAUUUGGAAUGAGCUUGGGGUAGUGUACGUGGUUGUCCCCCACUCAAGAGAGAGAGAGAAAGAGAGAGAAUGAAUGAAUGAAUGGCUAGCUGGCUGACCCAGGGCUGAUUGGGUCAUUCUGGUUUUCAAUGGUCUUCCUGCACUGUUUUGUAAUGCCACCCUACCUCCCAGAAUACUGGUUUUCAGCACAGCUGUGGGAAUAGCUGUUUGAGAAUUGAAAAUCACCUCUCUGCUGCCAAAACAAACGUACCCAGGAACAAGAGUGGGUUUUAGGUACGGAUGGGAGACUACAACCAUACCAACUGUCUGCAAGAAACAAUCCUGAAAAUUGACCCAAACAGAAAGAAGGUACUUCCCAAGUGCAAAGCUGCUUGGCUUGCUGAUCUGGUCACAUAGUUCACAGCAAUCAAUAACGGUUCCAUUGCAUGCAGAGAGAUUACAUUAAAUAAUUGCAUAUGCACCUACAAAGCAGCUGGCUUGUAGUUCACAUUGCUUUUCAGCAAUCAAUGAGAGUUUUCGAUAAGGGUUUCACUUAAAGUAAGGAGCUAACAUUAAAGAACUUUUGCAAUCUGGACAUACUGAAUGCUGACAAUGCAUGUGCAGAAUUUUCUUUUAUAUUCUCACCUUGAAAAGGACAUCUAAGAGAAAGGUUUUUGACUUGUAAUACAGAUGAUCAGUACCAACAUGAGAAAUGCCCAUUCCAAAGCAGGAAAUCACAAACUUCUCUGCCAAAAAAGACCCAGCUGAGAUAGUUAAAAGUGAUUUGUAAUAGUGGACAUAAUGCUUGUAAUUUGAGGGACUUUUUACUUCCAGAAUGACUUUGUAAGGCAUAUUCUGUAUGUUGAACAGCACAUAAUCCAUGUCCUAAUUUGGUCUAGUGCAGACUGAACCUGCCUCCAUUUCUCCUUCUCACUUCUAACCUCCCUUCCUCUUUUCUCAUCUUACCUGGAUGUUGUAAAGGCAGCAAGAACCCAAGAUGGGAGCCACCUCAUGGUCUCCAACACCAUUCAGGAAUACAAGGAACCAUGAAAAACAUACAUAUACAAUAAAUAUGCACAAAAUGGUUUCUGGUGGUUCUGGAUACUUGUAAUCAACACUAGUCUUAUUAAAGCCCCAGCUGUGAGUCUUCCCUUUUGCUGCCACAUCUAGAUGUUAGGAAAUGGAAAGAGUGACGGGAAGGCGGGGGUGGGGGGUACAGGUCAGUACUGGGUUAGCCUAUACUGUAGAAGUUGCAGUCCUAAAUUAGCCUAUUAUAUGGCUGUGUGUGAAUAAAAUGCAAGCAGGUGAGCCCAUGCCUCAUUUCAAAGGCUUCUUUCCCGAUAUGCCUGAUUAUUAAAGAUUCCUCUUGCUGUGAAAUAAUCUCCUUGCACAAAACAUAUUCAAGAGCUCCUGAAUGAAGACUCCAUUGUUGCAAAUGCAAUGUGCUACAUAGAUGACUCACUGGGAAGAAAGAAAUGAGCAGAUAAUAAGGCAUUCAUCUAAGAAGUCACUCUUUUUGUAUAGUUUUUUCCAGGUUUGUCUACACUAGGGAUAAUGCUGUCCUGCAGUUGUGGGCUUCAGUUCCCAACAGCCCCAGGAAGCACAGCCAGGGAUCAAGGAUGAUGGGAGUUGAUCUAAUGACAUCUGGAGGCACUGCACUGGAUAACCCCCGAGUCUAUGCUGUGCCAAUGAAGGAAGAAGAACAUGGUGCCAGGGAUACCAGUUUAUUUAAAGCUUCAGUUAUUUAUCAUUUCUGUUUCUUUAAAAAGAAUGUUACAGCUUUGGGCUGAUACAAAUCUAUGUAGUUCAUUCACAACUUCUGUAUGACUAAUUUCAUAUUGUUCAAAGUUUCUCCUAGUAAGUUUCUUGUCUCACAUUAUGAACAUUUUUGUUCUUAGGCAGAUACCAAGGUACCCACAUAAGACAGCG